CGUAACAAGGUCUCCGUGGGUGAACCUGCGGAGGGAUCAUUACACAAAUAUGAAGGCGGGCUGGAACCUCUCGGGGUUACAGCCUUGCUGAAUUAUUCACCCUUGUCUUUUGCGUACUUCUUGUUUCCUUGGUGGGUUCGCCCACCACUAGGACGAACAUAAACCUUUUGUAAUUGCAAUCAGCGCCAGUAACAAAUUAAUAAUUACAACUUUCAACAACGGAUCUCUUGGUUCUGGCAUCGAUGAAGAACGCAGCGAAAUGCGAUAAGUAGUGUGAAUUGCAGAAUUCAGUGAAUCAUCGAAUCUUUGAACGCACAUUGCGCCCUUUGGUAUUCCAAAAGGCAUGCCUGUUCGAGCGUCAUUUGUACCCUCAAGCUUUGCUUGGUGUUGGGCGUCUUGUCUCUAGCUUUGCUGGAGACUCGCCUUAAAGUAAUUGGCAGCCGGCCUACUGGUUUCGGAGCGCAGCACAAGUCGCACUCUCUAUCAGCAAAGGUCUAGCAUCCAUUAAGCCUUUUUUUCAACUUUUGACCUCGGAUCAGGUAGGGAUACCCGCUGAACUUAAGCAUAUCA
rnacentral:rRNA from 1 species